GACCAGGGCAACACCCGGACCUUCACCACGAAUCCCUCUCCACCUUCGGUGCCCAACAUCAUUGUCUCUUACGCGGUCCGGCGUCGAAACAAACCUGACACCCAACUCCAGAGUGGAGACGGAGUUUCGCUCUUGUUACCCAGCCUGGAGUGCAAUGGCGCGAUCUCGGCUCACCGCAACCUCUGCCUCCUGGAUUCAAGAAAUUCUCCUGCCUCAGCCUCCCAAGUAGCUGGGACUACAGGCACGUGCCACCAUGCCCAGCUAUUUUUUUUGUAUUUUUAGUAGAGACGGGGUUUCACCAUGUUGACCAGGAUGGUCACAAUUUCUUGACCUUGUGAUCCACCUGCCUCGGCCUCCCAAAGUGCUGGAAUUAUAGGCGUGAGCCACCGGGCCCAGCCUGAUUUUAUUUUUUAAAUGUUACUUUGCCCAAAUUCCUAUCUAAGGGGUGUGGAGAGUCAUACCCUACAAACCAUAAAUUCUCAUCAGAUAGGUUUUAUUUAACCCUAUAUAUCAUGACUUACUCUCCAGUCUGACUCUGGAAUUAGAUUAUAUGACAAAGAAGAAAGUAAAAAUAUUUUACCUCAACAUGUUUCUUUGCCUAUCUUGAAAUGGCCCCACAAAGCUGUCCUUUGUGGGAGAAAAUUUGCAUCUGUAAAAAAUCUCUAUUAACAUAGUUAGAUCUUUUUCUUCUGGGCUGUUCCAAUCUUAAAGAGAUUAACUAAGAGUCUACCACCUUUUAAAGAUCUGAAUAGAAAAUAUUUGUCAUCUAUUGUCUCUAAGGCAGCCACCAUAAGACUUCAAAAGAACCUUGGUCUCCAAAAUGUUUAUCUUAACCUGAACAUUUCAUUUCAAUUGAUCCCAGGUCUUUAGAAAACAACCGUCAAUCAGAAAAUGUUUAAAUAUAGCCUAGAAGCCCCACUUUGAGUUGUCCCACCUUUCUGGACCAAACCAAUAUAUUUCUUAAAUGUAUUUGAUUGAUGUCUCAUGUCUCUCUAAAAUGUGUAAAAUUAAGCUGCACCCUGACCACUUGGAGCACAUGUUCUCAGGACCUGCUGAGGUCUGUGUCAUGAGCCAUGGUCACUCAUAUUUGGCUCAGAAUAAAUGUCUUCAAAUAUUUUACAAAGUUUGACUCUUUUUGUUGACAAUAAUUUGGUGCCCAAAUAACGUGGGGCCUCAGAGAAGACUCAGGACCCAGAAGGAGUUGCCUGAAACCAGAGCUAAGGUAUCAGCUGGGGGCCAUUGAAGCCUCAACAAGUUCGAGAUUCUCCUCCAGUGGAAAUGUCUUACUCUGUCACCCAGGCUGGAGUGCAGUGGUGCAAUCAUGGCUUACUGAAGCUUCGACCUCCUGGGCUCAAGCAAUCCUCUUACCUCAGCCUACCAAGUAGCUGUGACUACAAGUGUCUGACACCAUGCCCUACUAAUUUUUUAGUUUUUUUUUUGUUGUUGUUGUUGUUAUGCAGCCAGGUUCUCCCUAUGUUGUCUAGACUGGGCUCGAACACCUGGGCUCAAGAGAGCCUCGUGUCUUAGCCUCCCAAACUGCUGGGAUUACAGGCCUGAGCCACCACAUCCUGACCUCAAGUUAUUUUUGGAUCAGCAGGAAUGCCUGUCUUGCUCUUUUUAGAAAGCCUCAUUAUGCAAAUAAUAAACAUUUUCAUAGUGCCCUGGUGUGUAUAAUGUGUCUUGGCAUCUUAACCAAACUUGA